GCCCCCGGAAAUGACAGCAAGCGCUUUGAUAAGCGCUUGGCCGCAGGUUCGAGUCCUGCCGGGGGCG
rnacentral:tRNA from 1 species